CAAAAAAGCAUGCACCGAUUUGGUCAGUGAUUACUUUCAAUGUAACUGGUAGAAUUAAUUAUUUUAUAAGAAUAUAUAAGAACUCAUGAAACCUUGUGGCUCUGUCCAGCUUGUCCUCCUAAAUUGGCUAGACAGCAAGACAAAUUUUCCGCGUAAUUAUUGCCCCCUAUUGUUUUUCUAGGAUUCCCGUGCAGUUGCUCAUAUAAGUAAUAGAACUAUUUGCCCUAGUUGACUUCCAUUUCCUAUUUUCUUUAAUGGGAAAUCCAAGUUGCGUUGUUACAUAUGAUAAUUUGAGGCCAAUUACAAUAGUGUAGUCCGGACUCUAAUCUUCCCUUCCAACUAAGACUCUCAACACCUAUAUGCUUAAGCAAUCCCACAAUGGGCAGUACAAGUAUAGGACAGGAGAAACAGUAACCACUUGGCCAAAGACGUACCUGGCAUCCAGUACCGAAAACCCGGCCACCUUUCUAGUUCGUGCCAUCGUGGCCCAGAGCCACGAGAUCGCAAUCCACGACACAACAUUUAGGCUAACAGCUUGAACACGUCUUUCAGAGGCAUUUCGUUGAACAUGCGCCAGUGCGGCAAUUCGCAGCUUGAACACGACAUGGAGAUGAACCUGAUCAUCCAUCGCAGCGGCGGCGUCCGACACGGCCGUGUUGGCGGCGGAGCGGACGCGGCAGGACCCCCCUCGACGGGCUGAGGUGCUACACCGGCGGCUGGAACAUCAACAACAGGCAGUACCUGGCGUCUGCAGGUUUCAGCGCUGCACCGGUUGGGUGGAAGACUGGAGUGUGCUACAGAUCUUGCGGCUGGACUGUCGGUUGAGGAGCCGACGGCUGCUGACGAGUCGGAUCAACGUGUCGUAGCGCAUCUGCUGCCUCAUCGUACCACACCAUUGGUGCUGCAGUUCUAAGAGGAUCCUGGACGCCUGCCCCAUGCCGAUUUCUGGAGAAGCUUGUUGGCAUUGCGGAGCUGUCGGUUGGGGUGCUGAUGGAGAUGAUGCCUACACCGAGGAUCUUGGAAAGUAAGCGCCUGGAGGCAUUCCGUAGUUGGUGGGUGGAUCCAGGCUGGCGGGUGUUCCUGCCGUUGCCCAUUGCGCCAAUGCUGUUAACGGCGGUUGUACAGGAGGGACUGGCGUGAGCUGAAACGGUACCCGUGAUGGAGAAGGUAGUGCACCGCUAUACCUUAGGGGCAAUGGGGUGUUGUCCCCCCCCCCCCCCCACUCUACAUCUGCAUCGGUUGAGGAGCCAAUUGGAAUAUGCUGGGUGCCACCGAAAGGUU